CCUACGGGUGGCUGCAGUGGGGAAUAUUGGACAAUGGGCGCAAGCCUGAUCCAGCAAUGCCGCGUGUGUGAAGAAGGCCUGCGGGUUGUAAAGCACUUUUGUUCGGGAAGAAAUCAUGCUGGUUAAUACCUGGUAUGGAUGACGGUACCGAAAGAAUAAGCACCGGCUAACUUCGUGCCAGCAGCCGCGGUAAUACGAAGGGUGCAAGCGUUAAUCGGAAUUACUGGGCGUAAAGGUUGAAUAGGCGGCCGAAAUCCCCGGGCUCAACCUGGGAAUGGCAUUCGAUACUGGGAGGCUAGAGUUUGGGAGAGGGUGGUGGAAUUCCCGGUGUAGCGGUGAAAUGCGUAGAGAUCGGGAGGAACAUCAGUGGCGAAGGCGGCCACCUGGCCUAAAACUGACGCUGAGGCACGAAAGCGUGGGGAGCAAACAGGAUUAGAUACCCCAGUAGUC
rnacentral:rRNA from 1 species